GGCUUGCGCAGGUGGGUACAUUCAGGGGGUCACUGGGGCCUCCAGAGACACGGCCCGAUGACACGGCCUGAGGACGAUGUCAUGAGGGGCUUGGUUACCACAGCAACAGGCCCAUCCCUCCCACCGAGUGUCCGUGACAUCAGGUGAGUGCAUGAUGAGGCGUUUCGUUACCAUGGUGAUGGGCCCAUCCUACCCACCUGGGCAGCUGUGACAUGGUGUGAGGAUGGCAUGAGGUGCCUGGUUACCAUGACAACAUGUAUAUCACACUUUCUGAGGCGCCAGGCCAUGCUGUGAGGACGCACUCCAUUGCCAUGGCGAUGGGCCCAAGUUACACGCCAAGGCACCUGGUUACCAUGGCGAUGGGCACAGGCUAGUCACCUUGGUUGUUGCCCGAGGAUUUUACAGCACAGCUGCCAUGGGUGGAUGUUAUCGUGUAUCUGGGCUGAGACUCCUCUCCUUUCUGCUGUGCAACUCGGCCUGGUGCUCUCCACCCCAGAGGUGGCUGCAUUCCAGCAGCACUGUGUGUGCACCAAGCGUGCAAAACAUCCGCUGCUACUGAAACAGGAGGGCUGCUUAUUCGCACGUGCCAACAUGGGGAGUGUAGUGUUGUGAACUCCAAGCAUCCAGAAAUCACAAGUCAGGACUUGAAAAUCAUGAGAUUGGCUUCAAAUCAUCUUUUAAAAAAAUAAGUACAUUUUGGGUUCUUUGCCUUCUCAUGUCUGAGCCUUUCGGCCGCACUCAGGUUGGAUUUUCAAGCUUCUCUCCACAACUACACGGUCAAGAAACUCUCUUUCAACAAAAGCUGCAGUUCUCCUGUAAUCCCAUGACUCUGGGAGCUGGUGCUUUAAGACAAACCCCAAAUAUCAUGAGAAUUGUGAUAAAAUCACCUAAAACGGCAACCCAGACACAACAAUGAACAGCAGUUCCUAUCUAUAGGCAGCCCUAGAAAUUGUCAGGACAAUGAUGGGUGUUGGAUCAUGAUGGAAACAAAAUCUGUUUGUUAAAUACCAGGCAGGGGGUGUGCUAGACCCUCCCCCCUCACCGUGACAGAUGGAAACCACAGCUGGGCAGCGGGCAGCAAUGCAAUGUAGGCUCCAUGGAAGUUUAAUCCACCUGGGGCCUCCUGUGGAGCAGCUGACCCCAGCAGAGGACUCUGGAUCUCAAGAGCUCAUCGCAUGACAUCCAAACUCAUUUGAGAUGCCGGCUGCUUAUUCUGCCUCCUUCCUAAACACUUCCCCCUGGAUUUGAUAUUGGCUUGUACAGUCUGACUCUCACAUGUGCCACAUUCCCGGAGGCUCAGAGGGAGGAGAAAGACGAGGAAGGUUUGAGGAGCAGCAAAAGCGAUAAGCGAAAGGCCACACCCUCUUUACAAUCCAGCCUCCAACUGCUGUCCCAGGAAGUAAAACUGGCCCGUCUGGCUACAGGGACCGUGUCACAUGCCAGAGCCCCCUCUGGAGUGGAACACCUCAGCUGGUCAGCGUCCCGCAACGGCGGUCCUCCGAAGAAUCCCCCAAGCACUCUGAUACCAGAGUGAUGGGAACGGUAUAAAAACCGAGUGGAUGAAGAGGAGAUUACCGCCACUGGGAGAGCUGAUAGGGAAGCGUGGGGGGUGACCUCCCUGUGGUGGGGUGACACCUCCUGGGGGUACCGAGGGUUGCAAGGCCCCUUGCUACCACCUGCCGUUAACAUGAGGAAGCCUGGUCUGUGCCUGUCAGGUAUGGAAUAAGAUCCCUUCCCCCAAGAGGCCCCCUCUUCAGAGACUCAUCUUGGGGUUCUUCUGUCUUUGCAAAUCCUCCAGCCCGCCCCUGGCCCAGACAGCGAAGAGAGCUUGCGUCCGUUGUUUGAUAUGCUGACUGAGUUAGCCCUGGGACAUGCAAUCCACAUAUACCCAGACAGAAAAGGAGACGUAUCUGUUCCCCCCUGCAUGGGGACCUGCUUUACCUCACAGACCU